rnacentral:lncRNA from 1 species
CCUCUUGGUUUGUAUUCUCUCUUACCACCUGAAACUUGGUCUUCCUCAGGGCCUGUUUUUACGUCAUUAGAUUGUGCCCUCUCCAAUCUCUCUCACUGUGGGGUAACCAGGAUGAUCAUAGUGAUUAUGCAAUGAUUGUUCAAACCAAGAUACUUGGGGAGGGAAUGGAUGCCCUGUUAAACAUUAUCCUGGGACCAAAGGUAUAAACUCCCAUGGACUAGAGCCAAAGUACUUGAGUUUGAAUCCUAGCACCACCUGUAAUAAGGCAAGACAUUUAACCUCUCAGAAUCUCAGUCUUCUCAUCUGUACAAUGGGGAAUGUUAGUGAUAUCUAUUUUGGUGUAUUUUUGAAAGAUUAUAGGAGGCAGUGUAUGUAAAGUGUUUAGAACUGUGUCACCUGGCAUAUGGUAUACAUAGCUAUUAUCACGUAGAAUCCCAGCAAAUAGAAUCUGGA